CAUUGGUACGUUCUUCAUUUCUUUGUUGUAGAUUCAUGCUGACUCACAUGUGACUUGUCUACCAGCACCAGAUGUGCAUGAUGCUGCCCCUGAAAGUCCUGACCCAAAUUCAACAACUGGACAGAAGACUGGGAUCAUUACUAGAAUGGCCAGCUUGCUGUUUCCCUUCUCUCUGUUCUUCCGUAAGAGUCCUGCAAAUGAAAAAAUCCGAACC